rnacentral:rRNA from 1 species
GACGAACGCUGGCGGCGUGCCUAAUACAUGCAAGUCGAGCGAACGGACGAGAAGCUUGCUUCUCUGAUGUUAGCGGCGGACGGGUGAGUAACACGUGGAUAACCUACCUAUAAGACUGGGAUAACUUCGGGAAACCGUAGCUAAUACCGGGUAAUAUUUUGAACCGCAUGGUUCAAAAGUGAAAGACGGUCUUGCUGUCACUUAUAGAUGGAUCCGCGCUGCAUUAGCUAGUUGGUAAGGUAACGGCUUACCAAGGCAACGAUGCAUAGCCGACCUGAGAGGGUGAUCGGCCACACUGGAACUGAGACACGGUCCAGACUCCUACGGGAGGCAGCAGUAGGGAAUCUUCCGCAAUGGGCGAAAGCCUGACGGAGCAACGCCGCGUGAGUGAUGAAGGUCUUCGGAUCGUAAAACUCUGUUAUUAGGGAAGAACAUAUGUGUAAGUAACUGUGCACAUCUUGACGGUACCUAAUCAGAAAGCCACGGCUAACUACGUG